rnacentral:misc_RNA from 1 species
UUUCCGUAGGUGAACCUGCGGAAGGAUCAUUAAUAAAUGGUCUACGUUUUUUAAGUAGACGCUUAAUAAUCCUACCCUUUGUGAAUUUGUUUGUUUUGAAAUAAUUUUUUUAAAAUUAUUGAAUGUCUUUCCUGUUGAAUGGUGUCUUGAAUGCAAUAUUCGCAGGGGAGUGUCAAUAAUUUUAAAAAGACCUUUUUUUAAAUUAAACUUUUGUAUUCAUUUGUCUAAAAUUAUUUUUAUAAUAUAAAAACAACUUUUGACAAUGGAUCUCUUGGUUCUCGCAACGAUGAAAAACGCAGCAAAAUGCGAUAAGUAGUGUGAAUUGCAGAAUACGUGAAUCAUCGAAUCUUCGAACGCAUAUUGCACUUUUUUAGUUUACUAAAAAAGUAUGUCUGUUUGAGUAUCAGUAAAAUAUUCUCAUAAAAACAUUGUUUUUUUAUGGUUAUGAGUGUUUUACAACGAUACAAGUUGUUUCACUUUAAAUUUUUUUAAAAUUUGAAUUUUUCUAAUUUUAAAAUAAAAUUGGAUAAAAUUUCCCGUAAAAAAGGAAUAACCUAAACAAUUUUAGUUUUUGAUUAGAAUUUUUCAUUAUAAAGGAAAAUUUAAUAAAUAACUUGAUCUCAAAUCAGAUAAGAGUACCCGCUGAACUUAAGCAUAUCAAUAAGCGGAGGAAAAGAAACUAACAAGGAUUCCCUUAGUAACGGCGAGUGAAGCGGGAAGAGCUCAAAUUUGAAAUCUUCAAGGUUUUACCUUGACGAAUUGUAGUUUAAAGAAGUGUUUUCUGUUGAAGUUUUGGUAAAAGUUCUUUGGAAUAGGACAUCAUAGAGGGUGAGAAUCCCGUAUUUGACCAUUAUUUUCAGCUGUGUGAUACACUUUCAAAGAGUCGGAUUGUUUGGGAAUGCAGUCCAAAAUGGGUGGUAAAUUUCAUCUAAAGCUAAAUAUUGGCGAGAGACCGAUAGCGAACAAGUACCGUGAGGGAAAGAUGAAAAGAACUUUGAAAAGAGAGUUAAACAGUACGUGAAAUUGUCAAAGGGAAGCGUUUGACACCAGUGUUGUUUUCCCGAAAAUCAAUUAAAAAAAGUUGGAUUUUGUGUUGUAUUGACCUUAACAGCUUGCUUCACUCUUUUCCUGCUUUUUUAAUGCACUUUUCGUUUAACAAGUCAACAUCAGUUUCUUUGUUGUAAAAGGGUCAUUGGAAGGUGGCUUUCUCUUCGGAGAAAGUGUUUAUAGCCUUUGAUCUCUGCAAUCGGAGAGACUGAGGUCUGCAGCGUAGAUCCUUCGGGUUAGAUACAUUUGUGCUAAGCUACAGCUUUUCAUAGACAACUUGUUGACUAUGUUUAGUCUUGUGACUUACCCGCUUAUGCUAUUU